UACAGAGGUGGCAAGCGUUGUUCGGAAUUACUGGGCGUAAAGGGCUCGUAGGCGGCCAACUAAGUCAUACGUGAAAUCCCUCAGCUUAACUGGGGAACUGCGUGUGAUACUGGAUGGCUUGGAUUUGGGAGAGGGAUGCGGAAUUCCAGGUGUAGCGGUGAAAUGCGUAGAUAUCUGGAGGAGCACCGGUGGCGAAGGCGGCAUCCUGGACCAAUAUUGACGCUGAGGAGCGAAAGCCAGGGGAGCAAACGGG
rnacentral:rRNA from 1 species